rnacentral:rRNA from 1 species
GCUAGUUGAACGACCCCGGACUAUGGCGGGGAAGUGGCACACUGCUCAGUAACACGUAGCUAACCUAACCUCGGGACGGGCACAACCCCGGGAAACUGGGGCUAAUUCCCGAUAGGCGUGGAAUCCCGGAAUGGAUCUACGCCCAAAGGUCAGCGCGCCCAUGUUGUGCGCGCACGCCCGAGGAUGGGGCUGCGGCCGAUCAGGCUGUUGGCGAGGUAAAGGCUCACCAAACCUUUGACCGGUACGGGCCAUGAGAGUGGUAGCCCGGAGAUGGGCACUGAGACAAGGGCCCAGGCCCUACGGGGCGCAGCAGGGGCGAAACCUCCACAAUUCACGAAAGUGAGAUGGGGUUACCUCGAGUGCCAUCUGAGGAAGGUGGCUUUUCCAUGGUGUAAUGAGCCGUGGGAAUAAGGGGGGGGCAAGACUGGUGUCAGCCGCCGCGGUAACACCAGCCCCCCGAGUGGUGGGGAUGUUUAUUUGGCCUAAAGCGUCCGUAGCCGGCCCGGUAAAUCUCUCGUUAAAUCCAGCGUCCUAAGCGUUGGGCUGCGAGGGAAACUGCCAGGCUAGAGGGUGGGAGAGGUCAGCGGUAUUUCUGGGGUAGGGGCGAAAUCCAUUGAUCCCAGGAGGACCACCAGUGGCGAAGGCUGCUGACUAGAACACGCCUGACGGUCAGGGACGAAAGCUGGGGUAGCGAAUCGGAUUAGAUACCCGAGUAGUCCCAGCCGUAAACGAUGCAGGCUA